GACGAACGCUGGCUGCGUGCUUAACACAUGCAAGUCGAACGGAAAGGCCCUGCUUUUGUGGGGUGCUCGAGUGGCGAACGGGUGAGUAACACGUGAGUAACCUGCCCUUGACUUUGGGAUAACUUCAGGAAACUGGGGCUAAUACCGGAUAGGAGCUCCUGCUGCAUGGUGGGGGUUGGAAAGUUUCGGCGGUUGGGGAUGGACUCGCGGCUUAUCAGCUUGUUGGUGGGGUAGUGGCUUACCAAGGCUUUGACGGGUAGCCGGCCUGAGAGGGUGACCGGCCACAUUGGGACUGAGAUACGGCCCAGACUCCUACGGGAGGCAGCAGUGGGGAAUAUUGCACAAUGGGCGGAAGCCUGAUGCAGCAACGCCGCGUGCGGGAUGACGGCCUUCGGGUUGUAAACCGCUUUCGCCUGUGACGAAGCGUGAGUGACGGUAAUGGGUAAAGAAGCACCGGCUAACUACGUGCCAGCAGCCGCGGUGAUACGUAGGGUGCGAGCGUUGUCCGGAUUUAUUGGGCGUAAAGGGCUCGUAGGUGGUUGAUCGCGUCGGAAGUGUAAUCUUGGGGCUUAACCCUGAGCGUGCUUUCGAUACGGGUUGACUUGAGGAAGGUAGGGGAGAAUGGAACUCCUGGUGGAGCGGUGGAAUGCGCAGAUAUCAGGAGGAACACCAGUGGCGAAGGCGGUUCUCUGGGCCUUUCCUGACGCUGAGGAGCGAAAGCGUGGGGAGCGAACAGGCUUAGAUACCCUGGUAGUCCACGCUGUAAACGGUGGGUACUAGGUGUGGGGUCCAUUCCACGGGUUCCGUGCCGUAGCUAACGCUUUAAGUACCCCGCCUGGGGAGUACGGCCGCAAGGCUAAAACUCAAAGGAAUCGACGGGGCCCCGCACAAGCGGCGGAGCAUGCGGAUUAAUUCGAUGCAACGCGUAGAACCUUACCUGGGUUUGACAUGGAUCGGGAGUGCUCAGAGAUGGGUGUGCCUCUUUUGGGGUCGGUUCACAGGUGGUGCAUGGCUGUCGUCAGCUCGUGUCGUGAGAUGUUGGGUUAAGUCCCGCAACGAGCGCAACCCUUGUUCACUGUUGCCAGCACGUUAUGGUGGGGACUCAGUGGAGACCGCCGGGGUCAACUCGGAGGAAGGUGGGGAUGACGUCAAGUCAUCAUGCCCCUUAUGUCCAGGGCUUCACGCAUGCUACAAUGGCUGGUACAGAGAGUGGCGAGCCUGUGAGGGUGAGCGAAUCUCGGGAAGCCGGUCUCAGUUCGGAUUGGGGUCUGCAACUCGACCUCAUGAAGUCGGAGUCGCUAGUAAUCGCAGAUCAGCAACGCUGCGGUGAAUACGUUCCCGGGGCU
rnacentral:rRNA from 1 species